UGUAUGGAGUCCUUUCUAUGAUUGUCAUAACAUUGCAAUUGAAAGCGUUCAGAGAAAAUUUCUAAAAUUUUUAAUGUUUAAAGUAAAUGGUCUUUAUCCGGCUAGAGGUAUAGAUAAUAAUUACUUGUGUGAUCGUUUUAGUAUGUGUAGUUUAGAAUUAAGAAGAAAAGUUGCAUCUUUAAUUUUUUUGUACAAACUUGUUAAUAAUGCAAUUGAUUGUAUUUCAAUAUUACAAAACAUUAAUUUUAAUAUUCCAAGGCUCCUAUUAAUGUAAUGUGUAGAAAUUUUAAUGUUAUUGGUAAGCAUUGUGACAUUUUUUCAUGUUCUCAAAGGAACUUUAUAAAAGUAGCUAUUGAGUGUCUGAAAUAAGCACUAAUUUUUUAUUUUAUUUUUUUUAUUAAUUUAUUUUCUUUUUCGGUUUGAAUUUAUAUUAAUUUUAGUCUAACUUGUAUUAUUAAUGUUAUUUUUUUGGUACUACUGCUUAAAUCUUACCUAUAGGUGUUAUAAAUUAUGUAAUAUUUUUAUCAUUGUCCUGUAAAUGGGAAACUGUUGGGCAAUAAAGCUAUUAUUAUUA
rnacentral:lncRNA from 1 species